rnacentral:rRNA from 1 species
AACGAACGCUGGCGGCAGGCUUAACACAUGCAAGUCGAGCGCCCCGCAAGGGGAGCGGCAGACGGGUGAGUAACGCGUGGGAAUCUACCCAUCUCUACGGAAUAACGCAUGGAAACGUGUGCUAAUACCGUAUACGUCCUUCGGGAGAAAGAUUUAUCGGAGAUGGAUGAGCCCGCGUUGGAUUAGCUAGUUGGUGGGGUAAAGGCCUACCAAGGCGACGAUCCAUAGCUGGUCUGAGAGGAUGAUCAGCCACACUGGGACUGAGACACGGCCCGGACGCCUACGGGAGGCAGCAGUGGGGAAUAUUGGACAAUGGGAGCAAGCCUGAUCCAGCCAGGCCGCGUGGGUGAUGAAGGCCCUCGGGUUGUAAAGCUCUUUCACCGGUGAAGAUAAUGACGGUAACCGGAGAAGAAGCCCCGGCUAACUUCGUGCCAGCCGCCGCCGUAAUAC